rnacentral:rRNA from 1 species
AACGAACGCUGGCGGCAUGCCUAACACAUGCAAGUCGAACGAGACCUUCGGGUCUAGUGGCGCACGGGUGCGUAACGCGUGGGAAUCUGCCCCUUGGUUCGGAAUAACAGUUAGAAAUGACUGCUAAUACCGGAUGAUGACGAAAGUCCAAAGAUUUAUCGCCGAGGGAUGAGCCCGCGUAGGAUUAGCUAGUUGGUGAGGUAAAGGCUCACCAAGGCGACGAUCCUUAGCUGGUCUGAGAGGAUGAUCAGCCACACUGGGACUGAGACACGGCCCAGACUCCUACGGGAGGCAGCAGUGGGGAAUAUUGGACAAUGGGCGAAAGACCUGAUCCAGCAAUGCCGCGUGAGUGAUGAAGGCCUUAGGGUCGUAAAGCUCUUUUACCAGGGAUGAUAAUGACAGUACCUGGAGAAUAAGCUCCGGCUAACUCCGUG